rnacentral:rRNA from 1 species
CCAUGCAAAGUCGAACGGCAGCACGAGAGAGCUUGCUCUCUUGGUGGCGAGUGGCGGACGGGUGAGUAAUAUAUCGGAACGUGCCCAGUAGCGGGGGAUAACUACUCGAAAGAGUGGCUAAUACCGCAUACGCCCUACGGGGGAAAGGGGGGGAUCGCAAGACCUCUCACUAUUGGAGCGGCCGAUAUCGGAUUAGCUAGUUGGUGGGGUAAAGGCUCACCAAGGCAACGAUCCGUAGCUGGUUUGAGAGGACGACCAGCCACACUGGGACUGAGACACGGCCCAGACUCCUACGGGAGGCAGCAGUGGGGAAUUUUGGACAAUGGGGGAAACCCUGAUCCAGCCAUCCCGCGUGUAUGAUGAAGGCCUUCGGGUUGUAAAGUACUUUUGGCAGAGAAGAAAAGGCAUCCCCUAAUACGGGAUGCUGCUGACGGUAUCUGCAGAAUAAGCACCGGCUAACUACGUGCCAGCAGCCGCGGUAAUACGUAGGGUGCAAGCGUUAAUCGGAAUUACUGGGCGUAAAGCGUGUGUAGGCGGUUCGGAAAGAAAGAUGUGAAAUCCCAGGGCUCAACCUUGGAACUGCAUUUUUAACUGCCGAGCUAGAGUAUGUCAGAGGGGGGUAGAAUUCCACGUGUAGCAGUGAAAUGCGUAGAUAUGUGGAGGAAUACCGAUGGCGAAGGCAGCCCCCUGGGAUAAUACUGACGCUCAGACACGAAAGCGUGGGGAGCAAACAGGAUUAGAUACCCUGGUAGUCCACGCCCUAAACGAUGUCAACUAGCUGUUGGGGCCGUUAGGCCUUAGUAGCGCAGCUAACGCGUGAAGUUGACCGCCUGGGGAGUACGGUCGCAAGAUUAAAACUCAAAGAUGACGGGGACCCGCCACAGCGGUGAUGAAUGUGCAUAAUCGAUGGCAACCGCGGAAAAACCUUACCCUACCCCUUGGACAAGUGCUCGUUG